AAAGAGCGCAGGGUGGAUGCCUUGGCACUAAGAGCCGAAGAAAGACGUGAUAAGCUGCGAAAAGCUGCGGGGAGGAGCAAAUAUCCAUUGAGCCGCAGAUAUCUGAAUGGGGAAACCCGGCUGGACGAACUCCAGUCAUCCAUACGCCAAUCCAUAACGUAUGGAAGGGAACCCGGUGAACUGAAACAUCUAAGUAGCCGGAGGAAUAGAAAGAAACAAGUUCUUUCAUUAGAAAGAAAAAUCGAUUUCCAAAGUAGCGGCGAGCGAAAUGGAAAGAGGCCAAACCAUGGUGCGUGCACCGUGGGGUUCGGACCGCAUAAUUGAUUCGUUGAUCCUAGCAGAAAGGUUUUGGGAAAGCCUGCCAGAGAGGGUGAAAGCCCCGUAAGCGAAAGGAAAGACGACAUGGCGGGAUCCAGAGUACAUCGAGACACGAGAAACCUUGAUGGAAUGAGCGGGGACCACCCCGUAAGCCUAAAUACUCCUUAGUGACCGAUAGCGCAUAGUACUGUGAAGGAAAGGUGAAAAGGACCCCGGGAGGGGAGUGAAAGAGAACCUGAAACCCUGUGUUUACAAGCUGUGGAACAUCUUUAUAUGAUGAACCGCGUACUUUUUGUAGAACGGUCCGGCGAGUUACGCGUGCCGGCAAGGUUAAGCACUUAAGGUGUGGAGCCGAAGAGAAAUCGAGUC
rnacentral:rRNA from 1 species